AUCUUUUUAGUAUAAUAAUGUAUACUUGACUUCCAAUCAAAAGGUCCAUGAAGUGGAAAAGAUA
rnacentral:tRNA from 1 species